CCUACGGGUGGCAGCAGUGAGGAAUAUUGGUCAAUGGGCGCGAGCCUGAACCAGCCAAGUAGCGUGAAGGAUGACUGCCCUACGGGUUGUAAACUUCUUUUAUAAAGGAAUAAAGUGAGGCACGUGUGCCUUUUUGUAUGUACUUUAUGAAUAAGGAUCGGCCAAAUCCGUGCCAGCAGCCGGGGUAAUACGGAGGACCCGAGCGUUAUCCGGAUUUAUUGGGUUUAAAGGGAACUGAGAUGGGUUUGUAAGUCAGUUGUGAAAGUUUGCGGCUCAACCGUAAAAUUGCAAUUGAUACUGGCAGUCUUGAGUACAGUUGAGGUAGGCGGAAUUCGUGGUGUAGCGGUGAAAUGCUUAGAUAUCACGAAGAACUCCGAUUGCGAAGGCAGCUUACUAAACUGUGACUGACAUUGAUGCUCGAAAGUGUGGGUAUCAAACAGGAUUAGAUACCCGUGUAGUC
rnacentral:rRNA from 1 species